AUUGAACGCUGGCGGCAUGCCUUACACAUGCAAGUCGAACGGCAGCGGGGGAGAAGCUUGCUUUUCCUGCCGGCGAGUGGCGAACGGGUGAGUAAUACAUCGGAACGUGCCCUGUAGUGGGGGAUAACUAGUCGAAAGAUUAGCUAAUACCGCAUACGACUUGAGGGUGAAAGUGGGGGACCGCAAGGCCUCAUGCUAUAGGAGCGGCCGAUGUCUGAUUAGCUAGUUGGUGGGGUAAAGGCCUAUCAAGGCGACGAUCAGUAGCUGGUCUGAGAGGACGAUCAGCCACACUGGGACUGAGACACGGCCCAGACUCCUACGGGAGGCAGCAGUGGGGAAUUUUGGACAAUGGGCGAAAGCCUGAUCCAGCAAUGCCGCGUGUGUGAAGAAGGCCUUCGGGUUGUAAAGCACUUUUGUCCGGAAAGAAAUGGCUCUGGUUAAUACCUGGGGUCGAUGACGGUACCGGAAGAAUAAGGACCAGCUAACUACGUGCCAGCCGCCGCCGUAA
rnacentral:rRNA from 1 species